rnacentral:rRNA from 1 species
AAGUCGUAACAAGGUUUCCGUAGGUGAACCUGCGGAAGGAUCAUUACUAAACAAUGUGCGGGAUAUCCCACCGGGGACUCCUUAGCAAAACACAUCCAUGAGUACCCUUCCAUGUUGCUUCCCCAGACCAGUAGCCACUGCUGCCAGCUCAGUACCCUAAUCUGGGUUUCUUGGGUUGAGGUGUCUGGGGAAGGGCUCACUAUCAAACUUUUGAACCAAUUUAGUAGUCUGAAAAGGCCAUGUGCCGCAAACUUUAAUAUAUAUUAAAACUUUCAACAACGGAUCUCUUGGCUCUCGCAUCGAUGAAGAACGCAGCGAAAUGCGAUAAGUAAUGUGAAUUGCAGAAUUCAGUGAAUCAUCGAAUCUUUGAACGCACAUUGCGCCCUUUGGUAUUCCUUAGGGCAUGCCUGUUCGAGCGUCACUAAAAACCACCUCACAGUUAAUGUGGUAUUGGGAGAAGUGGGUUGUACUAACAGUACUUUGUCCUACUCUACCGAAAUCAAUAGGCCAGAAAAGUGGACCAUGGUAACAGACUCUCAGAGUGUUUUAAAAUGCUAAACUAGUCUUACCCAGGUUGGAAUCUGAGCUACUGGACCCCCCAUUUAGUCCAAAAAAGAGAGGUUGACCUCGGAUCAGGUAGGGAUACCCGCUGAACUUAAGCAUAUCAAUAAGCGGAGGAAAGAAACCAACAGGGAUUGCCUUAGUAACGGCGAGUGAAGCGCAAAAGCUCAAAUUUGAAAUCUGGCACCUUUGGUGUCCGAGUUGUACUUUGGAGAGGCAUCUUCUGGAGGGGCCCAGCCUAUGUGCCUUGGAACAGGACGUCAUAGAGGGUGAGAAUCCCGUGUCACGAUGUCGCGUCAAACCAUGUGAAGUGUCUCCGACGAGUCGAGUUGUUUGGGAAUGCAGCUCAAAAUGGGUGGUAAAUUUCAUCUAAAGCUAAAUAUUGGCGAGAGACCGAUAGCGCACAAGUAGAGGGAUCGAAAGAUGAAAAGCACUUUGAAAAAGAGNAGUCAAAAAAGUACGGUGAAAUUGUUGAAAGGGAAGCGCUUGCGACCAGACUCGAUCUUUUGGCGGAUCCUCCCGGGCUUCGGUCCGGUGCACUCGCCAUUGAUUGGGCCAGCAUCGGGUUCCGACGGCAGGAUAAAAGUAGGAGGAAUGUGGCUCCNCUCGGGGAGUGUUAUAGCCACCUUCACAAUGCUGCCAGUUGGGACCGAGGACCGCGCUUCGGCUAGGAUGCUGGUGUAAUGGUCUUAAGCGACC